CGAUCGGUUGUCGUCAGCUCGUGUCGUGAGAUGUUGGGUUAAGUCCCGCAACGAGCGCAACCCUUGUGUUUAGUUGCAAACAAGGUCAAGCUGUGCACUCUAGACAGACUGCCGUGGACAACACGGAGGAAGGUGGGGAUGACGUCAAAUCAUCAUGCCCCUUAUGAUCUGGGCUACACACGUGCUACAAUGGCCGGUACAACGGGCAGCGAAGGAGCGAUCCGGAGCGAAUCCUAAAAAGCCGGUCCCAGUUCGGAUUGCAGGCUGAAACUCGCCUACAUGAAGUUGGAGUUGCUAGUAAUCGCGAAUCAGAAUGUCGCGGUGAAUGCGUUCCCGGGUCUU
rnacentral:rRNA from 1 species